rnacentral:lncRNA from 1 species
CUCUAACUAGUGAAGUUAAUCACUCCAUCUGCGACACUUGACGUAGUCGGCAGAAUGUCAGGCAUUAUCACUCAUUAGAGUUGGCAGACGUGCUCGCCAAACCGCUUUCCAUCAUUUACAGGAAGUCAUGGCUAUCUGGGGAGGUCCCAAUGGACUGGAGGGUGGCAAAUGUAACAGCCAUCUACAAGAAAGGCAAAAAGCAGGAUCCAGGAAACUAUAGACCUGUCAGUCUAACCUCGAUACCAGGGAAGGUCAUGGAGCAGGUCAUCUUGAAUGCCAUCAAAACCCACAUAAUGGGCAACCAGGGGAUCAGGCCUAGUCAGCAUGGGUUUAUGAAAGGCAGGUCCUGCCAGACGAACCUGAUCUCCUUCUAUGACAAGAUAACCAGAUUAUUGGACGAGGGAAAGGCUGUUGAUAUUGUAUACCUGGACUUUCGAAAAGCAUUCGAUACUGUCCCCCAUACAAUUCUCAUGGAAAAACUGGCUGCUCGUGGCCUGGAUGAGCAUAUGAUCCACUGGAUCAAGUGCUGGCUGACUGGAAGGUCCCAAAGAGUGGUGCUCAAUGGAUUUAAAUCCCGCUGGUGGCCGGUCACAAGUGGUGUGCCUCAGGGCUCAGUGUUAGGACCAUUUCUGUUCAACGUCUUUAUUGACGAUCUCAACAAGGACAUAGGGUGUAUCAUCAGCAAGUUCGCAGAUGACACCAAGUUAAGCAGGGGUGUUGAUUCCCAGGAGGAUAGGGAAGCCCUACAGAGGGACCUAGAUAGAUUGGAUCACUGGGCCAAUAUCAAUGCUUAUUGGGCUGGAGGAGUUGACAUUCUGGAGCAGGGUGAGCUCUUCCUAAUCCCCAUUGCAUCUUUAAGUGAGUUACCCACAGCCAUCACAAAAGCUGCUUGCAUACAAGCCAUGCAUGAAAAAGGACAACAUGAUAUUCCACUCUCUGCUACAGUAAAUUUUGAAAUGUUAAAACCAUUAAUUAGAGGAGCCCCAGCAGUUCUUAAAUCCCGACUAGUCGAAAAAUGGGAUGAGAUUAGAAGAGAUACUGAAUU